rnacentral:misc_RNA from 1 species
UCUCCGUUGGUGAACCAGCGGAGGGAUCAUUACUGGGUGUAAAAACUCCCAAACCCCUGUGAACAUACCAUCUGUUGCUUCGGCGGGAUCGCCCCGGGCGCCUUUGCGUGCCCCGGAUCCAGGCGCCCGCCGGGGGACUCCAAACUCUUGUUUUAUAUGUGGCAUUAUCUGAGUGGCUUAUAGCAAAUAAAUCAAAACUUUCAACAAUGGAUCUCUUGGCUCUG